GACCGGGUAGCUCAAUUGGUUAGAGCAUCGGCCUUUUAAGCCGCUGGUUCUGGGUUCGAGUCCCAGCCUGGUCA
rnacentral:tRNA from 2 species